CUCUUAUCCAGAGUGGCGGAGGGACUGGCCCGACGAUGCCCGGCAACCGUUAGAUCGAAUACGAUCUAAGAAGGUGCUAAAUCCUGCAAAGUGUAAUGCUUUGAAAGAUGAGAG
rnacentral:ncRNA from 2 species